rnacentral:rRNA from 1 species
UACGUAGGGUGCGAGCGUUAAUCGGAAUUACUGGGCGUAAAGUGUGCGCAGGCGGCAAAGCAAGUCGAGUGUGAAAGCCCCGGGCUUAACUUGGGAAUUGCGCUCGAAACUACUUUGCUGGAGUGUGGCAGAGGAAGGUGGAAUUCCACGUGUAGCGGUGAAAUGACGUGAGAGAUGUGGAGGAACACCAAUGGCGAAGGCAGCCUUCU